rnacentral:lncRNA from 1 species
GUUGGAAAUCAAAGCAGCCAAAACGAACUUUCUUCGGUUUUCACCAAUUCCCGCUCGAAUUGCACAGCCCCACAAGACACAGGUAAGAACCAUUGUUUUUGUUGUCUGUUGUUAAAUAGGAUUAAAAGCCGUUUGAAUUAUCGAUUUCGUUCACCGGAGUAUCUUCGCUUGGUUUGCCUGACAAUAUGUAUAUAAUAUAUAAUCCUAUAUCUAUCAGUCAUCGAAAUGCCAAAUAUGAGAGUCCAAAGGAUAAAGGUUGUGGAUUUUCUAUAAAAAUUCCAUAUAUUUAGCAUUGAAUCAACACAAGGGUACAUAACCCUUAAUUAGGUCUUUCCACCUUUCCGCGGAAAGACCUAUAGAUUUCGUUCUGAUUAUUAUUAUUAUUAUUUUUUUUUUCCGCCUAAUUUUUUUUCUUGCGUAGUAUUGUUGUUUAAUAACUUGUCGCUUAGAUGUUUAAAAUGUGAUAUCGUAUAGUUUAUACGCUUCAAAAAUUUACAACUGCGUAACAAAAAUAUUACAUUGUGAGUUAUCUCCCCAACACUGUUUUUCUUGUGGUCACUACUCCUUCGCAACCA